UAUAUCAGUUAUAAUCUAUUUGAUUGUCUUCCCCAUUGGAUAACCGUGGGAAAUCUAGAGCUAAUACAUGCAGUUAAUUGAAAGGGGUCAAAGCCUUUCAAAGCAUUUAUUGGAUCAAUACCAACUAUAGUAGUGCGGGCAACUGUGCUACUAUAAGGUGAAUCUAGAUAACUUUGCUGAUCGUAUGGCCUUGUGCCGGCGACAUUUCAAUUGAAUUUCUGCCCUAUCAACUUGUUGGUAAGGUAGUGGCUUACCAAGGUUACAACGGGUAACGGGGAAUCAGGGUUCGAUUCCGGAGAGGGAGCCUGAGAAAUGGCUACCACAUCCAAGGGAGGCAGCAGGCGCGCAAAUUACCCAAUCCAGAUUCUGGGAGGUGGUGACGAGAAAUACUAGAUGGCUUCCUAAACGGAUGUCAUACUGGAAUGGACGUAAUUUAAGAAAUUCGAUGAGUAACAACUGGAGGGCAAGUCUGGUGCCAGCAGCCGCGGUAAUUCCAGCUCCAGUAGUGUAUCUUAAAGUUGCUGCGUUUAAAACGCUCGUAGUUGGAUUACGCAGCAUAGAUUAGUCGAUUGGCAUGAUAUUGCACUCAAUCCAGCUGGUCUUAUUUUUGCCUAUGGUAUAUCCUAGGUAAAGGUCUGAUUAGUUGGAGCGGUACGUGUCGAUUAACAGCUAGUUUAUGCUACUUUUUCGUGAGGAUGGCAGUUGACCUUUAAUGCGUUGAUUGUUGUGUCUCACGAAGUGUGCCUUGAAUAAAUCAGAGUGCUCAAAGCAGGCUUUAGCUUGAAUGUUGAUAGCAUGGAACGAACAAUUGUGAUCUAGUGCUUUAAGAGACCAUUUGAGUGGGUUUAUAUUCGCUCAGAUGUGUAGCUUGAAACACAGCACCAACCGCCAUUUACGGAUGUUGGUUUCCGUGAUGGGGUGAUGAUUAAAAGGAGCGGUUGGGGGCAUUGGUAUUUUGCCGCGAGAGGUGAAAUUCUUGGACCGGCAAAGGACUAACAAAUGCGAAGGCAUCUGUCAAGACCGUUUCCAUUAAUCAAGAACGAUAGUGAGAGGUUCGAAGACGAUCAGAUACCGUCCUAGUUCUCACUGUAAACUAUGCCGACCCGGGAUCAGUUUCGAGCUUGAAAUGCUCGUGGUUGGUCCCCCUGGGAAACCUCAAGUUUUUAGGUUACGGGGGGAGUAUGGUUGCAAGGCUGAAACUUAAAGGAAUUGACGGAAGGGCACCACCAGGGGUGGAGCCUGCGGCUUAAUUUGACUCAACACGGGAAAACUCACCUGGUCCGGACAUCGAAAGGAUAGACAGACUGAUAGAUCUUUCUUGAUACGGUGGUUGGUGGUGCAUGGCCGUUCUUAGUUCGUGGAGUGAUCUGUCAGGUUGAUUCCGGUAACGGACGAGACCAUGGUUUUCAUUUAUGGUACUGGGGAAGGCUAUGAUGAAGCUGGCAACAGUGGAGUCAUAGCUGCUGGUAGAAUAUGCUUUUGUUGCUUCUAGUUUUAUGUGACGCUUGACCUAUGUCUUGUGAAGCUUGGAAUUAGUUGUGAUUAUAGGGUGUACCCUCCCUCCAGUURAACAUUGCGGGGUUUACGCUCUGUGAUUGUGCUAUGAAAAGACAACCAAGUAUACUUUAGAAGUUGGAGGAAGCACUUGGCGAUAACAGGU
rnacentral:rRNA from 1 species